CGGAGGGUGCAAGCGUUAUCCGGAUUCACUGGGUUUAAAGGGUGCGUAGGUGGGCUUGUAAGUCAGUGGUGAAAUCUCCGUGCUUAACAUGGAAACUGCCAUUGAUACUAUAGGUCUUGAAUUAUCUGGAGGUCAGCGGAAUAUGUCAUGUAGCGGUGAAAUGCUUAGAUAUGACAUAGAACACCAAUUGCGAAGGCAGCUGGCUACAGGUAUAUUGACACUGAGGCACGAAAGCGUGGGGAUCAAACAGGAUUAGAUACCCUGGUAGUCCACGCCCUAAACGAUGGAUACUCGACAUUUGUGAUACACAAUAAGUGUCUGAGCGAAAGCAUUAAGUAUCCCAUCUGGGAAGUACGACCGCAAGGUUG
rnacentral:rRNA from 1 species